AAGGGAUUCAGUCUGUCACCUGCUCCCGUGCGGUGAUCUCGUUAUAACACCUGUGCUCGGAACCUCCAGUAGACAGGAAAGAAGAAAACGUGUAAACAUAUUGUCCAUGCAGGCAAACGGUGGUUCUAUAGUGGACUUAUAGAUUGUUUAACAAUUGUGUGUGUGUCUUUGGUCAAGGAAUUUAAUCAAGUGAGGUGAUGAUAAAGUGACGCCAAAGAUUACAAGGGAAGUAAAGAAAAAAAAAAUCAACGAAACAGAAAAAAAUACGAAAGCUUGAACUAUUGUUUGGAGGAAAAGAAAGGAGACAGUAAGAAAUAUACAGAAAUUUGGGUAAUGAUAAUCCUGUGAAAGCAAAAACAAUAGAAAAAAAAGGAAGAUAAAAACACUAAAACCAUAAUAAUAUUCCCACGAAAA